AAUAAACAAAGCCAAAGGAAUGUCUUUUAAUUUCCUCUAGCAGUGUUCAGUUUCUCCUAAGCUAUUGCUCUAUACAUUUCAAAAACCAUCGAUGGCACCUUGUCUACCUCAAUAGGACAGUUAUUAAUGUCACCAAGACAUUUUUCUCUCCUUUUUUCUUCCAUAGUCUGUAUCAGGCACUGUGUUAACCAGCCUGUCCAAUAUGGUGAAACCCCGUCUCUACUAAAAAAUACAAAAAUUAGCUGGGCGUGGUGUUGCGCGCCUGUAGUCCCAGCUACUCAGGAGGCUGAGGCAGGAGAAUUGCUAGAUUAAUUAAUUGAUUUCUGAAAUAAAUUGUAAAUCGUGAGUGGGAUCCCUUUCCAUUGUUUGGCUAAUAGAUACUACAUUAAAUGUUCUUUCUUACACACAUCUAAUGAAAGAUGUGAAAACAUGAAUAUUCAUAGUGAAGAGUAUACUUACUUUGUCUCAUUAAUUC
rnacentral:lncRNA from 10 species